GCUAUGGGUCUGCUAUGGGGCACCAAACCCCCCCCCACACCUGCUAUGGGGCAGCCAUGGGUCCGCUAUAGGGCACUAUGGGGCAGCUAUGGGGCACCAAGACCCCCCCCACUCUCCCUAUGGGGCACUAUGGGGCAGUGAUGGGGCCCCCCGCCCCCCCCCCCGGGCCCUAUGGGUCCGCUAUGGGUCCGCUAUGGGGCAGCCAUGGGACACUAUAGGGCAGCUAUGGGGCACCAAGACCCCCCCCACUCUCCCUAUGGGGCACUAUGGGGCAGUGAUGGGGCCCCCCGCCCCCCCCCCCGGGCCCUAUGGGUCCGCUAUGGGGCGCUAUGGGGCAGCUAUGGGUCUGCUAUGGGUCCGGCCCUCACUCCCCGGGGGGCACGGGCAGGGGGGGCCCUCGGGGGUCGUCGAAGCGAUCCAUGGGGCGCAGCCCCAGCAGCAGGGCCCCCCCCCCUGCGCCAGCGCCGCCAGCAGCAGCCCCCCCACCACCAG
rnacentral:lncRNA from 1 species